rnacentral:rRNA from 1 species
UACGGAGGGUGCAAGCGUUAUCCGGAUUCACUGGGGUUAAAGGGUGCGUAGGCGGGCAGGUAAGUCCGCGGUGAAAUCCUGGGGCUUAACCCCAGAACUGCCGUUGAUACUAUCUGUCUUGAAUACUGUGGAGGUGAGCGGAAUAUGUCAUGUAGCGGUGAAAUGCUUAGAUAUGACAUAGAACACCAAUUGCGAAGGCAGCUCACUACACAGCCAUUGACGCUGAGGCACGAAAGCGUGGGGAUCAAACAGG